UGCAGACAAGCGCGGACGAUUGUAGAGGUCGUCAGUAUGACGGCAGCCUCGACAGGUGGGCUCCUCGAGUCCGGGGUCUGCAACACU
rnacentral:sRNA from 13 species